rnacentral:sRNA from 1 species
AUUCAGCGGCUCUGCCCUGGAGACCCCUCUACAGGCAGAUGACUUUCUCUGGGGGGGUCUCCUUAUCCCGAGCACGGCCAGGAGCUGCAGGAGCUGGGGAGGGUUUGGGGGAGGAAGCCUCAGCACCCCUCUUGCUCCUACCAGCUCGGCAUCAUUUACCGAGACCUGAAACUGGAGAAUGUGCUGCUGGACUCCGAGGGCCACAUUGUCCUCACGGACUUCGGGCUGAGCAAGGAGUUCCUGACGGAGGAGAAAGAGCGGACCUUCUCCUUCUGUGGCACCAUCGAGUACAUGGCCCCUGAAAUCAUCCGUAGCAAGACGGGGCACGGCAAGGCUGUGGACUGGUGGAGCCUGGGCAUCUUGCUCUUCGAGCUGCUGACGGGGGCCUCGCCCUUCACCCUGGAGGGCGAGAGGAACACGCAGGCUGAGGUGUCUCGACGGAUCCUGAAGUGCUCCCCUCCCUUCCCCCCUCGGAUCGGGCCCGUGGCACAGGACCUGCUGCAGCGGCUGCUUUGCAAGGAUCCCAAGAAGCGAUUGGGCGCGGGGCCCCAGGGGGCACAAGAAGUCCGGAACCACCCCUUCUUCCAG